rnacentral:miRNA from 1 species
GAGUGAGGGUGGCGAGCGCGU